UGUUGGAACAAAACGACGAGGAGACGCCGAUAACAAAUGUGCUCGAGUUGUCUAACGAUCUGUAUCACUGAUUCCUAUUGACAACUAAACCAACUAUGAAAGCAAUGUGCCUUCAGGCGAUGACUAAAGUUUAUGGAAAAUAUCACGAAGAGAUUGGAGC
rnacentral:lncRNA from 1 species